rnacentral:ncRNA from 22 species
AGUUUCAUACCGGAUCACGGUGCCCGCAAGGGCUUGAUAGGGAAGAUGGGUGAGCUCCAAAGAGCGAUUCCCCCGCGGACCCGCCGCUGUAAGCGAUGACGAAGGGCACACCGCCACUGGUUUUUGACUGGGAAGGCGCCCGGAGAAUGACUCGCGAGCCAGAAAACCUGCCUGAUCCCAAACACUCGGA